AUAGGAAGGAAGUUCCUUCCUUUAUGACAUCACCAGACAUCACAUUACAGAGCAGUAGCUAAGGAGACUAUUUGAGACACUCAUAGAACAACAGCCAAUUUUGUAGAUGCCCAAGAACAGCAGCUUGAAAACAGGAUAAAUAUUCAGGCAUCAUUAGGCUCCCGAAUACAAGCCAGCCAGUAAAAUAUGAGAUCUGCUCUGAAAGGCACAACCAUCAAGACAAAUAAACCUGGGGCCAAGGUAUCGGUUUCAGCACAGAGAGGGUCUGAGGUUACUACUAACACAUUCCCUCAGUGGAGACAUUGGUUCAUUCUUACCUCAAACCAUCGAAGUGCUGCAGUCUCCCUGAACCCUUCCCACCGAAGAUCAGAAGCUGCACAUCCCACCACUCUCCAUUCGGCAUCAGACUAUCCUCGAUCUGUCUCCCCCGAGUUAGGGCCUGGACGCUAUGCGGUACCCACACCUCAGGGAACCGAGACUGGACCAAGAACAGAAUCAUCCCGCCAUUCCUCUCCUCAUCCAAAGAGCCAGCAAACUCAGACACUGGCUUCCCAUGCUUCAAGCAAACAACUGAAUGUUAGUCCACCCAGAGAGGAAGCAACAUGAAGAAGCGGUGAGAGCAAGUCAGGGCGCAAGGUCGGCCAUCAUGCCUCAUCCAUCCCAGAUGUCAAAUCUUCUCGUCGAUUGAGUUUUCAAGACCAGAAGGAUAACUUGCAAUCACAAAUCUUACAAGAUGACCCACCAUCCAAGGUCCAGAACCCCCAAGGAGUCAGAGUUCCCCGCAGGAUUUUGUCUUACCCAAAGGAUGAAGCAGUGCAAACUGGACCCAUUCAAAGGAUUAUGACUACUACUGAGAUCAGAUCUCCAAAGAGUCGCUCUCUCCCAGAGCACGGAAGCAGCAGUGUCUCUGCAGACCAUCAGACCCUGGAACUGACCCUUCGGGCCUUGCCUCCUCGGUCCUUACCUAGGUAUGAGCCUGGCUGCUCAUGGUGGGCCUUGCUGAAUCCUGAAGUUGGAAUACCCGAAAGCCAGCCAACAACACCUGAUUUUGAGCGUAAGUGUUCUCCUUCCCUAGAUCCUUUAUUGUCCUGUUUUAAAAUAGACUCUAGCCCUUUAUUUGAGAAUCUGAAGUUCCAGAGAGAGAAGGCAAGCCCAUCACCACCACCAUCACCAAAGGAGUCUCCAAGUUGGGCACCAGUGAGUGAAGUGCCACAGACCCCCAAGCGUGCCUGCAAACAACUCAUUCAAUGGUUUAGUUCUUUCUUCCUGGAUGUCUCUCAGGAAAUGAACAAUCGUGUCAUCCGGUGGCUAAAAGGAAUGCCUGGCUUCUACUUCUCUGUUAUGACAGAUGAGGAGAUCAAGCGUUUCCUGGAGGACACCACAGAUGAUGGAGAACUGAGCAAGUUCGUGAAGGAUUUCUCAGGAAGCGAGAGCUGCCACCCACCAGAGGCUAAGACCUGGGCAUCCAGGCCCCAGGCCCCAGACCUCUAUGAUGAUGACCUGGAGUUCAGACCCCCCUCGUGGCCCCAGUCCUCUGACAGCCAGCAGUACUUCUGUGCCCCAGCCCCUCUCAGCCCAUCUGCUAGGCCCCGCAGCCCAUGGGACAAGCUUGAUCCCUGUGAUUCUUCUGAGGAUGACAAGGAGUAUGUGGGCUUUGCAACCCUCCCCAACCAAGUCCACCGAAAGUCCGUGAAGAAAGGCUUUGACUUUACUCUCAUGGUGGCAGGAGAGUCUGGCCUGGGCAAAUCUACACUUGUCAAUAGCCUCUUCCUCACUGAUCUGUACCGGGACCGGAAACUCCUUGGUGCUGAAGAGCGGAUCAUGCAAACUGUGGAGAUCACUAAGCAUGCAGUGGACAUAGAAGAGAAAGGUGUAAGGCUGCGGCUCACCAUUGUGGACACACCAGGUUUUGGGGAUGCAGUCAACAAUACAGAGUGCUAGAAGCCUGUGGCAGAAUACAUUGAUCAGCAGUUUGAGCAGUAUUUCCGAGAUGAGAGUGGCUUGAACUGAAAGAACAUCCAAGACAACAGGGUGCACUGCUGCCUGUACUUCAUCUCACCCUUCGGCCACGGGCUCCGGCCAUUGGAUGUUGAAUUCAUGAAGGCCCUGCAUCAGCGGGUCAACAUCGUGCCUAUCCUGGCUAAGGCGGACACACUGACACCUCCUGAAGUGGACUGCAAGAAACGCAAAAUCCGGGAGGAGAUUGAGCGCUUUGGAAUCAAGAUCUAUCAAUUCCCAGACUGUGACUCUGAUGAGGAUGAGGACUUCAAAUUGCAGGAUCAAGCCCUGAAGGAAAGCCUCCCAUUUGCAGUCAUUGGCAGCAACACUGUAGUAGAGGCCAGAGGGCGGCAAGUUCGGGGUCGACUCUACCCCUGGGGCAUCGUGGAAGUGGAAAACCCAGGGCACUGUGACUUUGUGAAGCUGAGGACAAUGCUGGUGCGUACCCACAUGCAGGACCUGAAGGAUGUGACGCGGGAGACACAUUAUGAGAACUACCGGGCACAGUGCAUCCAGAGCAUGACCCGCCUGGUGGUGAAGGAACGGAAUCGCAACAAACUGACUCGAGAGAGUGGUACCGACUUCCCCAUCCCUGCUGUCCCACCAUGGGCAGAUCCAGAAACUGAGAAGCUUAUGCGAGAGAAAAAUAAGGAGCUCCGGCGGCUACAGGAGAUGCUACACAAAAUACAAAAACAGAUGAAGGAGACCCAUUAACUGGCUUUCAGCCCUGGGUAUUUAAAUCUCUUCCUCUUCCUGUCCAUGUCGGCCCCUCCCAGCACCAGCUCUGCUCAGGCCCCUUCAGCUAUUGCCACUUCGCCUUACAUCCUGCUGACUGCCCAGAGACUCAGAGGAAAUAAAGUUUAAUAAAUCUGUAGGUGGUUUCUGGUGUCCCUGUGUGUAUCUUUCUGACCUCCUGGAGACCAAGAUCCUUGGACCCAGUUUUGAAAGGUUUAUGGUAGAUGCUGGCUUCUGGCUUUUAGUAGGGAAGGGAGAGUGGGGAAAACUUUUCACUUUGUUUCCCCUUCUUAGUCCCUGCUUAGAAUCCAGUCUGGCUUCUCCAUCUUAAUGACCACAUCUAUCCUGCCUUUAUUAUCUGGGCUGUGGGUCUCUCUCCAUCUUUCCCACGUACAUACCUUUAAUUCUGCAGCAGUUUUGGAUUUCAUACCCGCCCUUGGGAAAACAAGGUAUUAACUGUGUGCAACUUCCUGACUUUCUGUUUCUCCUGAUCUGGUAAAAGGAAUAGGCAGGUUAAGCUCUACACUGUAAAAAACCUGUGAAAGAGCUUUAAACAAAUGCAGCCACUGUAAUCACCAAACACUAUAGUAAGUGCUAGGAAUGAAUAAAAACACAAUCAUUGUCCUACAGGAGUUCAGUAUUUAAUUAAAAAUUUUACAGCAUCUGCUAGAUUGCAGACCGUUCUGGACCCUGGAGUUAAAGUACUGCAGAGUUCUCCUCUUCCUGUAAGUUUCAGUGUUCUAUAAACAAAGAGAGGUGAGGACCCAUUGGCCCCAGGGCUUGGUAUUAAAGCGCUCAGGCCCACUCCAGACCUGAGAAUAUUAGCUGAGAAUCUGAAUCAACUGUUUUCCAAUUCUGUCGGUUGGUGGUAUCGCGGGUCCACGGCGACCUCCAGCGGCCACCCUCCGUCUUGUGGUCUGUUCUGGGUCCCCGGCAAAGAAAGAAAGGGAGGGGCGAUAAGUCGGGUCCUUGGGAGCGUGCUGGUCUCCCUUCCCUUUACAGACUAGGAGGCCGCAGCUAGUUACUGGCAGUCUCAGAUCCAGAUUUUCCAUCUCUCGGAUGAGAGUUCUUCACUCAGGACUAGCAGCACAACGCAGGUUGUGAAGAACGGCAGGGUCGUUUAUCGAUACAAAGUGAGUGUUGGAGGAACCCAACCAGACACAGGAAGGGGGAAAUCCCAGCCAGUUGGAGUUGAUCAAGAUGGAACCUCAGGCCUAGCCCUCACUUCUCUCCUAGCCUCCUAUUCUGGCAUUGGGACCGGAUGACAGCAGCGAAACCAAAACGGGAAUGGAUAAACUGAGGUGCCACUGGGGAUCUCUUUGAGAAGGACCUCCAGGGCGGGUCCAUCGCCGGAAGUGGCUUAAGGCUUGUACCCUACACUGCCCGCCUCUAAUUGCGCUACCAGUAGGCGACUAGCCGCUCCCACUUCCGGUCCCCAGAGCUGUAGCCGGCAGCCCCCUCUUUACUGCUCUCCUAUUGGCUACCGCAAGGACGCGCUGUGAUUUCCCCUUGGUCGCGUCUCCUCUCCGGCGCCGCGCCUCCUCCCUCCAGGCAUAGUCUUGUCUUCCGGCAUCCGAUUGGCUAAAGGCUGGGAGGGCGUCUGCCCGUCUCGACCAAUGAGUGGCGUCGAGAGUGAGGGCGGUGGCUGUGUGAUGGGGGCAGGGCGGGACUUGGCGAGGCUAUUGGCCAGGGCAGGCACAGGCUAGAGAUAUAAUUGGUUGAGGAGAAGAACACCGUGGUGGGGUCGGGACAGCGCGGCCUCAGCAGCUACGGAGACGGAAGUGGCUAGAGCGCGGCCUCGGAGGGUCGGGCGGACGCCGCUUGGUGAGAAGCAGGCAGCCAGGACCCUUGCCACGGUAGAAUGGGUGAGGAGGGCCCCCCAGCCUGGAGUACAUCCAAGCCAAGGAUCUGUUCCCCCCCCCAAGGAACUAGUGAAGGAGGAGGAGGAGAAUCUUCAGAUGGAGUCUCGCUGUGUCACCAGGCUGGAGUGAAGUGGCAUGAUCUCAGCUCACCACAACCUCUGCUCUUGGGUUCAAGCAAUUCUCCUGCCUCAGCCUCCUACGUAGCUCAUGGAGAGGGGGAUCACGGUAGGUCCCCUUCUUGCUGUGGGUGGACCCACUUUUUGCUCCUCUGACCUGUGAAUGCACAGCCUGGUAGCCCUCUGGAGCCCUGCUGCCCAUCCCAUCUCCUCCUUUACACUCUGGGCAUCCUCUUCCCAAUCUGUGUCAUCCUUCAACAAGUUUUCCUUCUCAUUUUCCUUAAAGAUAUCUGUUUCAAUCUUUUUUUCAUGGAAGGGUCCUUCUGCCUUUCCCUUGGCUGUUAUGUUUCUUCAUUUAAUAUUUUUAAUGGGAUCUCAAGAAGAAAAGGUAUGGAACACAAGUGCUGAGUUAACCAUUGAUAUGGUUUGGCUCUGUGUGGCACCCAAAUCUCAGGCCCAGUUGUAAUCCCAAAUGUUGGUGGAUGGACCUUGUGAGAGGUGAUUGGAUCAUGGGGGUUUCUAAUGUUGCCUUUGUAGUAUGUAUUUUCCAAAAGGGAAUCAAGCUUAGAGCGCUCCUGAAGAAACUGACUCUAUUAUAUACCACCAAAAUAUUUGAAAAAUACAAAGAGAAUCUAUCAUAAUUUUUGAAGAAUAAGUUCCUGAUUCUGAUAUGAGUGCUUUUAAGCAUUAAUCACUAACCGAAAACAUACAGUAUAGUUAUGAACUAUCACUCAUUAGGAUUCUAGGUCCAUCAGAGCAGGGUUUCAUCUGACGUGCCCAUCACUGUUUCUCACUGCCUCCAACAUUGACUGGCUCAAGGCAGAUACUUCAUACAUAAUAAUGAAAUAUGCUGGAUAAACAUUUCUAACUAGAAAUUAAGGAAGCCUCUGAAGUCACAAGAAGAAAUCAGGUUAGAAAGCAAAUGAUCUUCCCUGCAGUUCUUGCUAUGUCGAGACCAAGCCCUAUAAUUUUCAUUUCUUCUUAAACCUCUUAAGAGAAUGAGAAGAGUGAGGUAAGGCUAGCAAAGACAGGUGACCCGAAAAUGCUUCUGAGUCAUGCUCACUUUGGAGAGCAGAACUUCAACUCAGAGCUCAGAGCUGCGGGCUUAGAGAUCAUCUGAAUCUCCCCAGCCAGCCACUCCCUAGAGUAAGCUCCCAUGCCCAUUGCAGCUUCAGUCCCUGCCUAGCACUUAGUGUAGCUCUACCAGCAACACCAGCAGACAAUAGAAUUGCAGGAAGAGAUAAUAUUUGUUCCAGGGAUGUUGGCAUAGACACCCUGAGAAGCAAAAAGAAAUAGCAAGUUUCUGAAGAGCCAGGCCAUAGAUGAAGCUAUCUCUUCACACUAAAUAUACCACCAUGUUUUUCUUAGAAGAACUUGAGCAUGCCUUUCUUCCUUAUAGCCAAAAAACAAAACAAAACAAAACAAAACCUAACUUUUCUAAACACCAGGCUUCCCAGGAAUGGCUAAUCUUUUAUACCCACUUGUAUUUCUGUGUAAAUGGAAACCAGAAAAUGUCUGGAAAUUCAGGUACAAAGCAGGAAAACAAUACAAUGGGAAAAAUCAUUAGAGCCAUUUUGUGCUCGGUUGGUGCUUUGCCUCCUUUUCCAGUUAAAUCUAUAAUGUGUGGGCAUAAAACGUACGCAAGUUAGCAGAGGACUGACACGUUCCUAUUGAAGUAACAGGAAAGCUGGCUCGCUCUCCACAGUCUGACCCUCAGAUACUACUGAGGAUGUCUGUCCCAUGCCUUCUGGGAGUAAAUUGAGGCUAAAUGUGAGUCUCUCUGGAGAUGGUCAUAAUUUUUCUCACAUUGUAUAUGAUUGCAUAUCAUUCAUUCUACUUCAAAUUACAUAUAAUGGAAAACCUUUUAGCUGUACGGUCCUCUGUAGGAUGCUCAGAGGAAAAACGCAGACAAGACAGAUGGUAAAUGCAUAGAUAAUCAAAUAGAAUCUGUUUCUCAUCCUUUCACUCAUAGAAAGGCAUUAGAGCUGUGUGAAACUACCAAUUUUCACAUUCUUUACAUUCACUUGAAAACUUAGCUUUUACAAUAAUUUGAAAAUUUAAUCUAAGGCAUAUUUUCAUCAGCAAAGAAAUUGAACAAGGGAUAUAGUUCUGAGCUUUGGUGAGCUCUAACAUUGCUUACAGUACAUACUAAACUUCUGAAUAUUAGUCUCAAUCAAUUAUUUAAAAUAGAAUUAUACUUCAAAUGCAAUUGGAUCAAGCUGCCAAAGGACUUUAACUGCCAGUUUUAAAGUGAAUAAUAUCUCUAGUUUAUCAAUAUUUUAAUCAGCUUUGCAUAUACAUCUUGUUAAAUGUACUACUUUCUGACUUCUCUAUCCCUCUGUAUACUUAUAUCUCUAUAAAAUUCUGCUCUCUUACUUCCUCUAUGGUGGUAAAUGGGAAAUGGGUCUUCCUCCUUGAUAUACACUUUCUCUAAUCUAAUGAAAUGUAGAUUUAUCCACCCAUUUUCUCUAAUACUUACUGAUAAACCUCUACAUGGGGUUAUAGGAGAAAGCCAAUGUAUAAUGUCCUACACACUUCCCUGAACACUCCUCUUCAUGCUCACGUGGUCUCUCACAGACCCUUCACUGUUGGAAUAACGUGUUCCUUUUGGUGAAUCACAGAAUUGUGUCAUGUUGGUGCAGAAAGAGAACAUGGAGAAGUCAAGUGAACUAGGCAAUGAGUUGCUUAAGCAAGCUGGGAGUAAGCUUUGGGGCUUUCAUUGCACUAUCUGCCAGUAUAAUGUAUCCUAAUAGUUAAAACAAUCUAACCCCAACAUUUCUCUUGAACUGUCAACUUUUGAUCUCCUCUGCUUACUCUAUUUGCAAAGAUUAUAUUUCAUUCACUCCUUUGAAAUCUCUAAUGGGUUUUCUGGGUUUUCCUUUGUUUCCUUAGAAUUCAGCAUUUGUUUACAAUAAUUAUUAUUUUAAAAUCUAAGUCAAACCAUGGGAUCAACCACCACAUUGUAAAAGUAAGAUGGAAUAUUAUGAGUCAAUGAUUUGUAAAAACAGUAUCAUACAAACAUAUUUGUACUGUAUUCUCAGAAGAAACCAAUUUUAUUUAACUGAAGCUACAGACAAAACUCUUUAUAUCACCUUUUGAACUCUUCAAUGCUAUCCAAAAAAAUUUUAUCAUCUAUGUUAAAAACAAGAAAGUAUUUAGCUUUCUUUUCCUAUAAAACUGUUAAAGAGCAGGGUUUCAACCCUAUGGACAACAUAUUGUGGAUUUUGCAGAUGCGAUGCAUGUUCAAAUAUUUGCAAUAGUAUUAUUGUUGCAAUAAAAGAAAAGAAAAGCAAUGUUACCAACAUAAUCAUAUCUGCUUUGUAAGAAAGAAUGAUAAACUCUUUCAUAAGAACGUGCUGUCAUCACUGGACUUCUGAAGCAUGGGAAUCUCGGGAGCUGAGGACUCCGAAUGCUGUUUCAUUAAAUACUUCAGGCAAUGCCACUAUUACACUAGAAGUUUAUCUUGAUAAUGUAAUCUUCUCACUUUCUGUUUGUGAAAAGUCUGGAUCAUAUACUAUUUUGAUAAUACAUUAAAUGAAUACAUCAAACAUUUUAUACCUCUUGGAGCAUCAAAUACCAUGUAAUCCAGAGGUAAUUCCUCAAAUUCUGUGUUUGAUUGAAUGAUGGCAUUCUUAUUGUGAAUACAGCAAGCUUUCUAAAAUUA